rnacentral:rRNA from 1 species
UACGUAGGGUGCGAGCGUUAAUCGGAAUUACUGGGCGUAAAGCGUGCGCAGGCGGUUUUUUAAGCCAGAUGUUAAAUCCCCCGGCUUAACCGGGGAACUGCAUUUGGAACUGGAAGACUAGAGUACGGCAGAGGGAGGUAGAAUUCCACGUGUAGCAGUGAAAUGCGUAGAUAUGUGGAGGAAUACCGAUGGCGAAGGCAGCCCCCUGGCUCGAUACUGACGCUGAUGCACGAAAGCGUGGGGAGCAAACAGG